GGCCGAACUCCCGCUUCGCGGUACCUUCUCGUCGAUAUUGACGACGGUUCGACGGAAGCCGGUGGGAAUCCGGCACGGUCGCGCCACUGUAAGCCCCGUACGCACCAGCCUGGUGUGGCCCGGGGGCAAGUCAGACCCGUGACUGUCGUCCUCCGCA
rnacentral:ncRNA from 19 species